GACGAACGCUGGCGGCGUGCCUAAUACAUGCAAGUAGAACGCUGAAGGAGGAGCUUGCUCUUCUGGAUGAGUUGCGAACGGGUGAGUAACGCGUAGGUAACCUGCCUGGUAGCGGGGGAUAACUAUUGGAAACGAUAGCUAAUACCGCAUAACAGUAGAUGUUGCAUGACAUUUACUUAAAAGGUGCAAUUGCAUCACUACCAGAUGGACCUGCGUUGUAUUAGCUAGUUGGUGGGGUAACGGCUCACCAAGGCGACGAUACAUAGCCGACCCGAGAGGGUGAUCGGCCACACUGGGACUGAGACACGGCCCAGACUCCUACGGGAGGCAGCAGGAGGGAAUCUUCGGCAAUGGACGGAAGUCUGACCGAGCAACGCCGCGGGAGGGAAGAAGGUUUUCGGAUCGUAAAGCUCUGUUGUAAGAGAAGAACGAGUGUGAGAGUGGAAAGUUCACACUGUGACGGUAUCUUACCAGAAAGGGACGGCUAACUACGUG
rnacentral:rRNA from 1 species